CUGCCCUGUACAGGGGGAUAACAGUUGGAAACGGCUGCUAAAACCGCAUAACAUGGAGAUACCGCAUGAUAUUUCCAUCAAAUAUUUAUAGGUACAGGAUGGGCCCGCGUCUGAUUAGCCAGUUGGCAGGGUAAUGGCCUACCAAAGCGACGAUCAGUAGCCGGCUUGAGAGAGUGACCGGCCACAUUGGGACUGAGACACGGCCCAAACUCCUACGGGAGGCAGCAGUGGGGAAUAUUGCACAAUGGGGGAAACCCUGAUGCAGCGACGCCGCGUGAGUGAAGAAGUAUUUCGGUAUGUAAAGCUCUAUCGGCAGGGAAGAAAAAGCGCGCGAGCGCCCUUGACAGUACCUGACUAAGAAGCCCCGGCUAACUACGUGCCAGCAGCCGCGGUAAUACGUAGGGGGCAAGCGUUAUCCGGAUUUACUGGGUGUAAAGGGAGCGUAGGCGGCCAUGCAAGUCAGAAGUGAAAACCCGGGGCUCAACCCUGGGAGUGCUUUUGAAACUGUGCGGCUAGAGUGUCGGAGGGGUAAGUGGAAUUCCUAGUGUAGCGGUGAAAUGCGUAGAUAUUAGGAGGAACACCAGUGGCGAAGGCGGCUUACUGGACGAUGACUGACGCUGAGGCUCGAAAGCGUGGGGAGCAAACAGGAUUAGAUACCCUGGUAGUCCACGCCGUAAACGAUGA
rnacentral:rRNA from 1 species